CACCACUGCAAGAGGGGAAGUUGCUACUGUGAUGAAUUCUGCCAUGUGGUACCAGACUGCUACCCAGACCACAGUGUCCUCUGCAACCCUCGUAACUCACAUACAGGCCUGAUUCCACCUACAGCAAAGCUGGAUGCUAUGGUUGGCAGAGGCAAACCCUUUGCCUGCACUUCAGGCCAAAGCCGGGAUGUGGCCUAGAUGGUUCCUAAGCUUCUCAGAUGACCAAGAUGGUGCUGCAGAUGGUGCUGAGGAUGGAGAACCCACCAAGCCCCGCUAGGAGCCACCUAGACUGGAUGUAGAGCAUGGCCCAUCAGAAACUCAAAAGAAUGCUACCUUUGUCUCUCACCCACCUGUGACCUGGAAGCUUUCUCCUGGCUGCGAGUUGUCCCACGUUUGCUUGGCGUUGCCCGGCCUUUUCCAGACUGAACCAAUGUUCAUCUUACAUAUGUUGAUUGAUGUCUCAUGUCUCCCUAAAACGUAUGACCACCUUGGCACAUGUCAGGACAUCCUGAGGCU
rnacentral:lncRNA from 1 species